GUGUACUGAAAGAAUUUGAACAGGUUCCCAGCCAUCUGACAGAGGAGCUGCAUCUCUUCUCACUGGAUGAUCUGGUGAAGAUCAAACGAGGGCAGUUAUUGCCCCUUCUUAAAGAUAUUCUGAAGAGCUCUACCUCCCAUGUGGAUGGCUGCGAGCUCUGUCAAGCGAAGGGGUUUAUCUGUGAAUUCUGUCAGAGCGCAGAUCUGCUCUUUCCAUAUCAGAUUGCCAAAUGCAAAAGGUGCACAGAGUGCAAAACAUGCUUUCACAAAUCGUGCUUCAAGUCUGGAGGCUGCCCCAAAUGUCUGCGGAUUGCAGCUCGGAGGACGCUUUCAGAAACUCCAUCACUGGUGCCUCCGUGAAACUCGGUUCUGAUGACUGCUGAUUUUAGAAGAUGCUCAAAGCCAAAUCUUCAGGUGCCUGACUAAGAAUUAAAUAAUGUUGUUUUAGACAUUGCUAUUUUUAAUGUGUGUCUCCUUUAUGGGGGGUUAAAAAAAAUACAAAAAAAAAAAGAAAAAAGGGAAAAAAAAAAAGGAAAAAUAUUAUGUUAAUAUCAUUGUUGAAACUCCUUUAGGGCGAGUUUUCACGUUAACUGGUGACAGAAAGACUGGAUGUUAAUUCUGUGAGCAGCCUUUUGUUGCUAUGUUUCAUCCUUGUAUGUAAGAUUUUUAAUAUUAUAUUUUUCCAUAUAAAAAUUAUUCUCUGUAAUUCUGCAAAUAAUGUAUAGGUAGUAAAUGAGUGUUGGAAAUCCUUACCUGUGUCGGACUUUGGAUAUAGUGAUAGAGAAAAGUGGUGAAGUACAAAAUCAUUCUCGCAAAAGCCCCAAUAGAAAAACCUUGUCUGCAAGUUUUAGGCAAAUGCUGGUCUGAAAUUCUGUUCUGACAAAUGCUUAAUGUGAACCAGUGGAUUUUAAGUUUCUUUUGAACAGAUGUAUGCAACAGCUUGUGGUGGGUUGAGCUUGGCCUGCUGCUAGAUGCCCACCCAGCUGCUCUCUCGCUCCCCCUCCUCAACAGGACAGGGUGAGAAAAUAUGAUGGAAUUGCUCGUAGUUCGAGAUAAAGACAGGGAGAUCACUUACCGACUACUUUCACGUAGCAAAACAGACUCAAAUUGGGGAAAAUUAAAUUUAUUGCUAAUCAGAAAUUGAGUAGGGUGGUGAGAAACAAAGACGAAAACUAAAGCAACUUCCCCCUACCUCACCUGCCCUUUUUCCCAGGCUCAACUUCACUUCUUCAUUCUCAACUCUUCUACCUUCUCCCCUGCCCCAAGUGGUGCAGGCGGAUGGGGAAUGAGGGUUGUGGUCAGUCCAUAACAGCUCCUCUCUGCUGCUCGCUCCUCCUCACG
rnacentral:lncRNA from 1 species